rnacentral:miRNA from 1 species
GUUGGUCCCCUCAACUGGUUGU